rnacentral:rRNA from 1 species
CAGCAGUGGGGGAAUUUUGCACAAUGGGCGCAAGCCUGAUGCAGCUAACCGCGUGAGUGAAGAAGGCCUUCGGGUUGUAAAGAACUUUUCAGCGGGGAGGAAGGGGAGUAAAGUUAAUACCUUUGUCUUACUGUGUACCUGAAGAAGAAGCACCGGCAAACCUGGUAACUCCUGUG